rnacentral:rRNA from 1 species
UUCGGAGGUACUCGAGUGGCGAACGGGUGAGUAACACGUGGGCAAUCUGCCCUGCACUUCGGGAUAAGCCUGGGAAACUGGGUCUAAUACCGGAUAGGACCUCAAGACGCAUGUCGUCUGGUGGAAAGCUUUUGCGGUGUGGGAUGGGCCCGCGGCCUAUCAGCUUGUUGGUGGGGUGACGGCCUACCAAGGCGACGACGGGUAGCCGGCCUGAGAGGGUGUCCGGCCACACUGGGACUGAGAUACGGCCCAGACUCCUACGGGAGGCAGCAGUGGGGAAUAUUGCACAAUGGGCGCAAGCCUGAUGCAGCGACGCCGCGUGGGGGAUGACGGCCUUCGGGUUGUAAACCUCUUUCACCAUCGACGAAGGUCCGGGUUUUCUCGGAUUGACGGUAGGUGGAGAAGAAGCACCGGCCAACUACGUGCCAGCAGCCGCGGUAAUACGUAGGGUGCGAGCGUUGUCCGGAAUUACUGGGCGUAAAGAGCUCGUAGGUGGUUUGUCGCGUUGUUCGUGAAAUCUCACGGCUUAACUGUGAGCGUGCGGGCGAUACGGGCAGACUAGAGUACUGCAGGGGAGACUGGAAUUCCUGGUGUAGCGGUGGAAUGCGCAGAUAUCAGGAGGAACACCGGUGGCGAAGGCGGGUCUCUGGGCAGUAACUGACGCUGAGGAGCGAAAGCGUGGGGAGCGAACAGGAUUAGAUACCCUGGUAGUCCACGCCGUAAACGGUGGGUACUAGGUGUGGGUUUCCUUCCUUGGGAUCCGUGCCGUAGCUAACGCAUUAAGUACCCCGCCUGGGGGAGUACGGCCGCAAGGCUAAAACUCAAAGGAAUUGACGGGGGCCCGCACAAGCGGCGGAGCAUGUGGAUUAAUUCGAUGCAACGCGAAGAACCUUACCUGGGUUUGACAUGCACAGGACGCGUCUAGAGAUAGGCGUUCCCUUGUGGCCUGUGUGCAGGUGGUGCAUGGCUGUCGUCAGCUCGUGUCGUGAGAUGUUGGGUUAAGUCCCGCAACGAGCGCAACCCUUGUCUCAUGUUGCCAGCGGGUAAUGCCGGGGACUCGUGAGAGACUGCCGGGGUCAACUCGGAGGAAGGUGGGGAUGACGUCAAGUCAUCAUGCCCCUUAUGUCCAGGGCUUCACACAUGCUACAAUGGCCGGUACAAAGGGCUGCGAUGCCGUAAGGUUAAGCGAAUCCUUUUAAAGCCGGUCUCAGGAUCGGGGUCUGCAACUCGACCCCAUGAAGUCGGAGUCGCUAGUAAUCGCAGAUCAGCAACGCUGCGGUGAAUACGUUCCCGGGCCUUGUACACACCGCCCGUCACGUCAUGAAAGUCGGUAACACCCGAAGCCAGU